UUGGAGGGCAAGUCUGGUGCCAGCAGCCGCGGUAAUUCCAGCUCCAAUAGCGUAUAUUAAAGUUGUUGCAGUUAAAAAGCUCGUAGUUGAAUUUCGGGAUCAAUUUGUCGGUCGCGCCUCGGUACGUACUGGCAUUAUUGGUUUCUACCUUCUGAAGAACCUUGAUGUCAUUAAUUUGGUGUCUUGGGGAAUCAGGACUGUUACUUUGAAAAAAUUAGAGUGUUUAAAGCAGGC
rnacentral:rRNA from 1 species